rnacentral:rRNA from 1 species
AACGGCUGCGGUAUUUUGACCGUAUGAAGGUAGCGUAAUUACUUGUCUUUUAAAUGAAGACCUGUAUGAAAGGCACAACGAGGGCCUAACUGUCUCACUCUCCCAGCUAAUGAAAUUGAUCUCCCCGUGCAGAAGCGGGGAUAAUAAUAUAAGACGAAAAGACCCUGUGGAGCUUUAGAGUAAAAAUAGGCUAACUACUGUCAUUAAGACCGGAACCUCCUAUUUUCAUCUCUUAGGUUGGGGCGACCACGGAGAAAAACAUAACCUCCACGAAAAAUUUUCAACUCUAAACCAAGAGUCACACUUCUAAGUUUACAGACACAUCUGUUUAAAAACGAUCCAGAAGCCCGAUCAACGAAACAAGUUACCCUAGGGAUAACAGCGCAAUCCCCUUUCAGAGACCACAUCGACAAGGGGGUUUACGACCUCGAUGUUGGAUCAGGACAUCCUAAU